GAGCGGUAACAGGUGUAGCAAUACAUGCUGACGAGCGGCGAACGGGUGAGUAAUGCUUCGGAAUCUGCCCAAUGGUGGGGAAUAACCAGCCGAAAGGUUGGCUAAUACCGCAUAAGCCCUAUGGGGGAAAGCAGGGGAUCGUAAGACCUCGCGCCGAUGGAUGAGCCGAAACCGGAUUAGCUAGUUGGUAGGGUAACGGCCUACCAAGGCGACGAUCCGUAGCUGGUCUGAGAGGACGACCAGCCACACUGGGACUGAGACACGGCCCAGACUCCUACGGGAGGCAGCAGUGGGGAAUAUUGGACAAUGGGGGAAAGCCUGAUCCAGCAAUGCCGCGUGUGUGAAGAAGGCCUUCGGGUUGUAAAGCACUUUAGGCAGGGAAGAAAAAAUCGGCGUGAAUAUCGCCGGUCUUGACGGUACCUGAGGAAUAAGCACCGGCUAACUCUGUG
rnacentral:rRNA from 1 species